rnacentral:lncRNA from 1 species
AAGACACAAACAUACAACCUGGCUUCACCAACCUAGAAGUACAGCCACCUCCCAAGUUGUAACCUUCUCUAUCUGGAGCCGUGAGAACGUUACCUCUCUCUAGUUAUUGGAGUUUUGGUUCCAACAUGAUUCCAAGUAUAUAAAAAUUCAGUCUGGAGUGAAGAUAUUUACAACGCAGUUGGUGAAUGCACCAUAAAGGGAUGAAACAUCAUGUGACCAGGUGUACAAUUACAGCUUCCCAGACCAGGUCAUGAAGGGGAGUAAACAUAUGUCAUACCCACCAAAACAGAAAUUUCCAGAACCAUCUCGUUGGACACCAACAUACAAAACUGUGCUCGCUCAGGAUCGUGAAAAUACUCUUUAGCUUUGGGAAAUAACUUGGAAGACUGUGAGAAGGAAAGCCCAUUCUACUGAAUUUUUAAUUCUUUAUCUCAGCACCAUGAUCAAGUCUAAACCCGUUUGCAUGGAAUGCAUCGCCUCUCAAUACUACAACCUAACUUUCUAGCUUUCCUUCCUGCAGCUUCUCCCACAGCUCAUUCUUCUAGUCUAGCUAAACUUUUCUCUAUUCCUGUAACAGACCGUGCUUUAAAUGUGUAAGUCAUUGUCCAUGCUGUUGAUCCCAUCUGGAAUACCACAUCCCUUCAUGAAUGCCUGCUAAACUCCAAUUCAUCUUCUAAGUCUCUGAAUAAAUAUCUUCUUUGAAAUCUUGUGAUUCUCUCCUCAGAACUAUCUCUGGGUUCUCUCAGUUCCCUUGGCAUGUUAUACAUACCUUCUUUGUAGCAUUUAUCACACUGUAUUUUCCUUACUUGUUCUCAUGUCCAAGUAGCUCAGGAUCAGAGACAGUGUUGUAUGCAAUUUUAAAUACUCAGGAUCUAUCAUUAUUAUGCCUGGAGUGUAUUAGGCCCUCAAUAUGCUUUUACUAUACAAAUGAUCAGCAUAUCUAAUGCCUUUUUCCAAUGCUAUUUUAUUGAGCUAAGUUUUAAUAGCUGAUAGAUCUACUAAGGUCAUAAUCUUAAAUAUAUUAUAAAUACAUUAGGACAAGUCAUCUAUGUUAUGUGCUAAAACGAGUAAUGUUAGCUUU